AUGUGGGGACACGCAAACUCUCAACAGGCGUACCAAUAUCCGCAGCUGGUCUCCAAGGUGAAGAGUCUCUAGUCGAUAGAAUAAUGUAGGUAAGGGAAGUCGGCAAAUUAGAUCCGUAACUUCGGGAUAAGGAUUGGCUCUGAAGAUUGAGAUAGUCGGGCUUGAUUGGGAAACAAUAACAUGGUUUAUGUGCUCGUUCUGGGUAAAUAGAGUGUCUAUCAUUUAUGGUGGUUACUUGUUCCCCGGAUAGUUUAGUUACGUAGCCAAUUGUGGAACUUUCUUGCUAAAAUUUUUAAGAAUACUAAUUGGCUCAAACCGAUUAGUUCUUAUUAAUUAUAACGAUUAUCAAUUAACAAUCAAUUCAGAACUGGCACGGACUUGGGGAAUCCGACUGUCUAAUUAAAACAAAGCAUUGUGAUGGCCCUAGCGGGUGUUGACACAAUGUGAUUUCUGCCCAGUGCUCUGAAUGUCAAAGUGAAGAAAUUCAAGUAAGCGCGGGUCAACGGCGGGAAAUGCCAAAUGCCUCGUCAUCUAAUUAGUGACGCGCAUGAAUGGAUUAACGAGAUUCCUACUGUCCCUAUCUACUAUCUAGCGAAACCACAGCCAAGGGAACGGGCUUGGAAUAAUUAGCGGGGAAAGAAGACCCUUUUGAGCUUGACUCUAAUCUGGCAGUGUAAGGAGACAUAAGAGGUGUAGAAUAAGUGGGAGAUAUUAGGCUUCGGUUUGAUAUCGCCAAUGAAAUACCACUACUCUUAUUGUUUCCUUACUUACUUGAUUAAAUGGAACGUGUAUCAUUUCCUAGCCAUUAUACGGAUAUAUUUAUUAUAUCUUAUGGUAUUGGGUUUUGAUGCAAGCUUCUUGAUCAAAGUAUCACGAGUUUGUUAUAUAAUCGCAAACAAAUUACUUUAAUAAAACGAUGCAUUUAUGUAUUUUUGAUUUGAAAAUUUGGUAUAACUCCAAUUACUCAGGUAUGAUCCAAUUCAAGGACAUUGCCAGGUAGGGAGUUUGACUGGGGCGGUACAUCUCUCAAAUAAUAACGGAGGUGUCCCAAGGCCAGCUCAGUGCGGACAGAAACCACACAUAGAGCAAAAGGGCAAAUGCUGACUUGAUCUCGGUGUUCAGUACACACAGGGACAGCAAAAGCUCGGCCUAUCGAUCCUUUUGGUUUAAAGAGUUUUUAACAAGAGGUGUCAGAAAAGUUACCAUAGGGAUAACUGGCUUGUGGCGGCCAAGCGUUCAUAGCGACGUCGCUUUUUGAUCCUUUGAUGUCGGCUCUUCCUAUC
rfam:Drosophila ficusphila Contig2025, whole genome shotgun sequence